UUGGAGCAACUCCCUUCAAACGGUCUCGUUGAUAGUUGGUACAGGCCAAAGCCCUCUAGCUCUUCCAGCUAAUGCUACUGUGCUAAUAGCACACAGAGGAAACUACCGGAAGGCAUUAUGGUGAACUUCGCAGCAGCGAUUCGUGAGCACUGGGUCAAUAUCCUGGUCCCUCUGGGUUUCGUCAUCGGGGUUUAUCUGGACCGAUGGAAUGACCAGAAACUCACAGCAUUCAGGAACAAGAGUGCUUUGUAUAGCAGGGAACUGAAGCCUGGUGAGGAAUACACCUGGAAGUGAGACUCCUGCAGUGAUAUUUAUUGGACCCUCUGCCUAGAAUGUGUAUAUUGUCUGUUCAUCCACCAUAUCUCUGAUUACGAGCAUGUUGGUGCAAUAAAUUGUGCAUUUAAUUCUGUAA